UUCGGUCACUAUUAAAAAUGUACAUAUUUAUUUACCCAGCAAACACAACUACGAGUUAGCCGCUUGGUCGUCAGAUACUUCACUUAUUCCGAGGGAAAUUACACCAUGAUUGUAACGUUGUGAGAAAGUAAAGCACCAGAAGCAAGAAAUCCGACAAAAAUUACUGAUGUCUGUUAGGAUUUUAACAACGUGAUGGUACCACAACAAAACACAGCAGAGCAGCAGGGGAGGAGCGAGAUGUGCAUGUAAGAUCAUCACAACAGCUACAGAUCAAUGGACUGCACAUCUGCCUUGUUAAAAAGUCUUUCCCUGAUUCUGAAACUGCGUAAACAUUUCCAAAUGCACGUACUAAGAUAUAACUAAGGUAAUUUUUGCUGUGAUAGCACCACAUUCUGUUGAAAUAGCUCUGCUGAUGGAUUUGUUGUUAUCAUUGUUUAGGGCUAAAUGCUCAAUGCUUAAAGUAGUAAGAUUAUCUGACCACAAAUGUAUUUGUUAGUUGUCUUGUUAAAAAGCUCAAUAAAAUG